UACAGAGGUCUCAAGCGUUGUUCGGAUUCAUUGGGCGUAAAGGGUGCGUAGGUGGCGCCGUAAGUCAGGUGUGAAAUCUCGGGGCUCAACCCCGAAACUGCACUUGAUACUGCGGUGCUCGAGUACUGGAGAGGAGAUUGGAAUUUACGGUGUAGCAGUGAAAUGCGUAGAUAUUCGGAAGAACACCAGUGGCGAAGGCGGCUCACUGGACUGGUAUUGACGCUGAGGUGCGAAAGCGUGGGGAGCAAACAGG
rnacentral:rRNA from 1 species